rnacentral:rRNA from 1 species
UCUAAAAAUAAAAAGGUAAUACCCCCGGAGAAACCAAUACUUUUUGACGGCCUUUUUUCUAAUUAAAGGAACUUGUUUAUUAAUCGAAAUUACACGCUAAUUUUUUCUCCCCCUAAAAGUUUUUAUACCGUCGUCUUAAGAAUAAACUGAUAAGUUUAUCCUAAAUUAGUAAGCUGAGCAAGUCAGAUCAAGGUAAAGCCUAUGGGAGAGGGCACAAUGAGUUAUUUAUAAAAAUAAUUUAAAAAUUUUUCUUUAAAAAGUAAAUGAAUCAAGAUUUAAAAGUAUUUAUAAAUUAAUAAACUAUAAAGAAUAAGUAAAAAAAGGUGU